rnacentral:lncRNA from 1 species
CCGUCGGCCUGGCGCGAGGGGCGGCAGCGCCUGCGGCCAGUCGCCGGGCUCUUCGUAUCGGGGGUCCCCGCGGAGUUAAGUCCGCUUCCUGCCGGGAACCCGACUCUGUGCCAGAGCCCAUGAAUCAGCCUCGGGCCCCUCCGUCCUGUGGGUCCAGGGCCCCGGGCCCCGGUACCUUUCGGGGUGCAGCCGAGCGGUCGGCGUCGCCUCAGCUUCAAGGUCAUCCCGGGAGGCCACCUUCUCCCCAGCCCUGGUGGACGCAGCCUUGAGCUUAACUCCGCGCCUUCUGCUCAGUCGCAUUUUGUACAACAGAACUCCUAAGUUGAAGAUGAAUGAAGGUCAUCUUCAGAUAAAUGUUUUCUAAAAUUUGCCAUAGAGGAUGGCUAUGAAAAAAACCACUAGGAGGACAACUGCAUGUUACAAGGUACCAAAGGUUAUAAUGUUAAAUUGUGUGCUUUUUUAUGUUUGUGGUAUUAUUCCUGAAGAACAGUACCAAAAAUGUUUAAUAACUGGCAUAAUGAUGACUCAAAUUACUUUUUGCCGUUUACCCAGCUGAGGGUGACUUUGAAGAAAUAAUUUCAAGACUGAGAUGCCAGUAACCCAUGUUAUGUGAAUUACUUAAAUAUAAUGCAGUUCUUAUUAAAAUAGGUGAAAUGUUCUUUUCAACAUACAGGUACCUGCAGGUGAAUGUUCAAGUCCUUAGCAUUAGUGUAGAAAUACUUCAUUGCCUCAAGUAAGUACAUAAGAUUUGUCAAAUAACCAAAUUUAUUGAUAACUUGAAACUAUCUGAUAAAACUCCAAAGGGCUGGGGCCAUUUCCUUUUAAAAAUGCCUUUGUGAGUCAGCUGUAUGAUUUUCUCUGUUUUGAGAAUGGAAUGAUUUUUACUGUUUCUGAUUUUUUUUUUUCCAGAGAUGUGGCAUACAGCAUUUCGGAAGGAAAAAUGAACUGGUCAAGAAGACAUGAAGCAAAUGAUGAAAAAUUAAUAAUUUUAUUUAACAUUGAUCAUCUCACAAUAAAUUCUGUAGAAAAAUACAAAUUCAAAUUAUUAAUUGCGGGACAAUAAAGUCUGUUAUCUUUAAAG